rnacentral:rRNA from 1 species
UUUGAUCAUGGCUCAGGAUGAACGCUGGCGGCGUGUNUAAGGCAUGCAAGUCGAAAGCUUUANUUCGNUAAGGCUUGGCAAACGGGAGAGUAACACAUUGGUAAUUUACCCUGAGGACGAGAAUAACCCGGAGAAAUCCGGAAUAAUACUCGAUAGCAGUGGGGGGACACAAGUCAUUCCCACUUAAAGUUCCGGCGCCUCAGGAGAAGCCUAUGGCUUAUCAGCUUGUUGGUGAGGGUAAUGGCCCACCAAGGCAACGACGAGUAGCGGGUGUGAGAGCAUGGCCCGUCUCACUGGGACUGAGACACUGCCCAGACUCCUACGGGAGGCUGCAGUCAAGAAUCUUCCUCAAUGGCCGAAAGGCUGAAGGAGCGACGCCGCGUGUAUGAAGAAGCCCUUCGGGGUGUAAAAUACUUUUAUUAGGGACGAAACAAUGACUUUACCUAAUGAAUAAGGGGCUGCUAAACUCGUGCCAGCAGCAGCGGUAAUACGAGUGCCCCGAGCGUUAUCCGGAUUUAUUGGGCGUAAAGCGUCCGCAGGCUGUUUAUCACAUCUCCUGUUAAAUCUUCUGGCUCAACCAGGAGACCGCAGGAGAGAUGGAUAAACUAGAGACCGGGAGAGGUAAGCGGAAUUGCUGGUGUAGGGGUUAAAUCCGUUAAUAUCAGCAGGAACACCAAAUGCGAAGGCAGCUUACUAGAACGGUUCUGACGCUCAUGGACGAAAGCGUGGGGAGCGAAGGGGAUUAGAUACCCCCGUAGUCCACGCCGUAAACGCUGAAUGCUAAGCAUUGGAAGUAUCGACCCUUCCAGUGUUGUUAAUUUAAGGUAACCCGUUAAGCAUUCCGCCUGGGGAGUACGAGCGCAAGCUUAAAACUCAAAGGAAUUGACGG